UGGAGGAAAGUAGGGGAUCGAAAGACCUUAUGCUUUUGGAGCGGCCGAUGUCUGAUUAGCUAGUUGGUAGGGUAAUGGCUUACCAAGGCGACGAUCAGUAGUUGGUCUGAGAGGACGACCAGCCACACUGGGACUGAGACACGGCCCAGACUCCUACGGGAGGCAGCAGUGGGGAAUUUUGGACAAUGGGCGCAAGCCUGAUCCAGCAAUGCCGCGUGAGUGAAGAAGGCCUUCGGGUUGUAAAGCUCUUUCAGUUGAGAAGAAAAAGUCGUGACUAAUAAUCAUGAUUCAUGACGGUAUCAACAGAAGAAGCACCGGCUAACUACGUGCCAGCAGCCGCGGUAAUACGUAGGGUGCGAGCGUUAAUCGGAAUUACUGGGCGUAAAGGGUGCGCAGGCGGUUCUGUAAGUCAGAUGUGAAAUCCCCGGGCUUAACCUGGGAACUGCGUUGAAACUACAAGGCUAGG
rnacentral:rRNA from 1 species